GUCCCUGUAGCGCAAUGGAUAGCGCGUUGGACUUCUAAUACAAAGGACGUGGGUUCGAGCCUCACCUGGGGUG